AGUGCCGGCCAUGGUGUGGCUGCCCUGCAGAGGGGCUUGUGCCGCUGCUGGACUGACAGCCUUUAGAGGCUUCGCUUGUCUCGGCAGGGCAGGUCUGGCAAACCACGGACAGACCAGGCACAUGGGACCAAGCCGGAACCUCCUGCUCAACGGGAAGUCCUACCCCACCAAAGUGCGCCUGAUCCGGGGGGGCUCCCUGCCCCCAGUCAAGCGGCGGCGGAUGAACUGGAUCGACGCCCCUGAUGACGUGUUCUACAUGGCUACAGAGGAGACCAGGUAGGGCCUUCCCAGGGCAGGCGGGAGGGCUCCGCACAGCGUCCCGGCCCUCACCACCACCUCUGCCCACAGGAAGAUCCGCAAGCUGCUUUCAUCCUCGGAAACCAAGCGUGCUGCCCGCCGGCCCUACAAGCCCAUCGCCCUGCGUCAGAGCCAGGCCCUGCCGCUGCGGCCACCGCCACCUGCGCCUGUCAACGACGAGCCCAUCGUCAUCGAGGACUAGGGGCCGCCCCCACCUGCGGCCGCCCCCCACCCCUCGCCCGCCCACACGGCCCCUUCCCAGCCAGCCCGCCGCCCGCCCCUCA
rnacentral:sRNA from 1 species